AAACCACAGAUGUUAUUUAAAUUUGACAAAUAUGCCAUUCACUAAAAAGGGGGGAAAUGGAGAAGAAAGGAGGCGCAGAGAGUGGGAAUUUAGAACAGGCCUUAGUCCAUUUGGUGCACGAAUACAACCACAAGACCCUUUUUAUCAGAGAAAAAACAGAGAAUGCUAAGAAAGAUGCUUUGAGGAGUGGGCUUCAUGUUUCGGGACUUCUGGUUGAUAGUGUUAAUGGUGGGGUGCAAGAAUCCUUUAUAAAUGAGAAACGAAUUGAAUUUGAGACACGUGCAUUGGCGAGUACUAUCAUGCGCUAUACAAAGCAAACAAAUCAGUGGCUUGCUGCUUCCCAUGCUAUCAACUCUGCGAUAAAGGUGAUAUCUCUUCUGAUUUGUCAAAAACAAAAGGAGAUUGGAGACUUUGAAAAUUGGAUGAAGACCAUGGAUUAUGAUUGCAAAAGCAUCAGUGCUUCUCUGUGCAACAUCAGCAAAACAAGACAUUGAAGACCAGGCAAUUUUUAUUCAUUUCGUCAACAGCCAACAGCAUACCCAAAGAAACUGGAGGAAUGCCCGGAGACAAAAGCAAUGUUAUCUUUUAUUUGUGCGUCAAUGAUUUUCGAAACUCAUAGAAGAGCUUCGGUUUUUGUGCAUAAUUAAAGUGCGAGUAGUUGCAUGCGAAGCUAUAACGAAGAAACAGAAUUCAUACAAGCCAGGAUAUGAAGAAAUGAAUAUGGCCUUCGUACUGAAUUCUGUGGAUUAAAGAUCUAUUUAAUAGUGAAAGCACCAAAAAGAUCAAAGAUUGUGGUUUUGGGCUGGUACAAUAAGAUUUGCUCACUUAUGCCAAGAUACAAGAUAAAAGAUCGGAAUCAACGUAUGUAAUAUAGCUCUAUCCACAAGGUGCUGAAUAGCAGUGUGGCUUUUGAACAAUGAAGUUCACUAGUGGAUGCCAAAGAAGGUAAGAAGGUGACUUGUGCUACCGUUAAUUUGCUGGGGAGUAUGACAAGAAGUUGUUUGGUAUGAGAUCUCAUCAAUCUGAAGGUAUGUUUGAAAAUGAGGAUUGAAGUUUUCCGUACCCUAAAUGGGGAAAAACUUUCAUGGAUCCCGAAGUACUGUGUUAUCAUCAUAGAGUAGAAGUCAAUGAAGCAGACAUCUACAAGUUUGCUUAAGAAGGUGCAGACAUUAAAACAUGCUCAAACAGUGUUAGUGCAAAGGUGAAAAAGAAUAAGGUAGAUCUCCACAAGACAAGGAGUCUUUAAGCCCCAGUUAGUGCACCCACUUUGUUACUAGCCUAACGGAAUGCCGAAAAACGAGAAUUAGCAUCCUACUAUUAAUGAUUGUUCCUCCAUCACAACGACGGGUCUAGGCAGGUAAGGUAAUUCUCUAUGUGCCUCCAUCACCCUUCACCAUUAAAAUAUCUGAGAGAGGCUGCAACAAUCUUGACAUCCUCUUGCUCUUAAGAGCCAGAUAAGGCCAAAUUUUAAAUCUCUGAAAAUGUUAGCUUAAUGUGGCCUUUAGAUUGGCGUCAUUAGAUUGACUGUGACUACGUACCUGCAUUUGUCAUAAAUCAGUCUUUUAUAUGCACACAGAUCAGGUGCAAUGCAACAUCUUGUGGAACGCAUGGAUAAGACCUAGGUGGAAACUGAAUUUUUGAUGGUAUCAAGAUCGCAUUUGAAUUAAAUUUAAUCAGAAUCAGCCAUAGACAUCUGGAUAGAUCAUGUAUCUACAUAAUAACAUAAAAUAAGUACUUGUGGUUCGAGAAAGGCGGAGCAGAACCUGCCCCAUGCAUGAGUAUGAUGAAAAUCAAAUAAUGCAACAAACAACAAUGAAAGAUUUCUAUUUGGAGAAAUAGGAAAGGUAGGGAAGACUUCCUUUUGCUAGCACACAACUUUUGAAGAUUUUUCAUGGUUGAAUCAUUGCAAGAAAAGAAGUAUCAGAGAUUCAAAGAUUCAAGACAAUACUAUGCAAAUGGGACCACUUGAUACCAAAUCUUCCAAUCCACAUACUGCUAAACUGUAAGAAGAAGCCAAAACAAGGGGAGGCUGUCCUGAAAGCUUGGUUUAGAACGUGGCAGCCAUAGGUGUUCAAAGUUCUUUGGCAACUUUGUUGAUACUUGCGGAGUGUGUCCUGCAAAAUGCGCAUGCGCUUGUCGCACACCAUCACCUUCCAAUCUUUUAAUGGGUCGGUUGUAGCAGUUUUGAUUGCUCGUUUUCCGUGACAUGUCAUUGGAUGCUGGAAACGAUUCGGUAGGCUUGUUGGACCAAAC